rnacentral:rRNA from 1 species
GACGAACGCUGGCGGCGUGCCUAAUACAUGCAAGUUGAGCGCUGAAGGUUGGUACUUGUACCAACUGGAUGAGCAGCGAACGGGUGAGUAACGCGUGGGGAAUCUGCCUUUGAGCGGGGGACAACAUUUGGAAACGAAUGCUAAUACCGCAUAAAAACUUUAAACACAAGUUUUAAGUUUGAAAGAUGCAAUUGCAUCACUCAAAGAUGAUCCCGCGUUGUAUUAGCUAGUUGGUGAGGUAAAGGCUCACCAAGGCGAUGAUACAUAGCCGACCUGAGAGGGGUGUCGGCCACAAUGGGAACGGGACACCGCCCAAACUCCUACGGGAGGCAGGAGGAGGGAAACUUCGGGAAAUGACGGAAGGCUUACCGAGCAACGCCGCGUGGGUGAAGAAGGUUUUCGGAUCGUAAAACUCUGUUUGUAGGGAAGAACGUUGGGGGGAGUGGAAAGCUCAUCAAGUGACGGUAACUACCCAGAAAGGGACGGCUAACUACGUG